UACAGAGCUUGGUCCACUUUUUUCCUCCCUGCUGUUUCCACAUCAGGUGACCUGAGCCCUGGAGGGAUCCCACCGGAGACCCACUGCCUGCAGAGCGAAAGGCCCCCAGCAUCGAUGGCUGAGAUGGCGCCUGCAGUUCAAGCGCCUGAGGCGGUCAGCGAGGAUCCAGACAGCACCGAGGUGUUCUACACGGUGGAGAGGGACGAAAGCGGAGAAGUCGUCUGCCUCUGCUCUGACAUGGGGGAGGCCUACAACAAAAUUGCUGCCCUGGCUGAAUAUUUGCUGAAGGACCAGCAAGAUGCCCUGGUGGACGAGCAUUUUGAAAGCCUCUUUUGGGAGGUGGGGGCUGCGGAAGGGCCUGGGGGCUGCGCAGAGGCCAAAACCUGGGGCCCAUCCUCGGAGGCCCCCGAAGCCAAGCGCCAGAGGCUGGGUGAGUGGGCUGCUCCCUUGGUGGCGGCUUCUCUUUAGUAACGGGGGUUGCAGAGAUCGGGCCCCC
rnacentral:lncRNA from 1 species